rnacentral:rRNA from 1 species
UACGUAGGGUGCGAGCGUUAAUCGGAAUUACUGGGCGUAAAGCGUGCGCAGGCGGUUUUGUAAGCCGGAUGUGAAAUCCCCGGGCUUAACCUGGGAAUGGCAUUCGGGACUGCAAGGCUGGAGUGCGGCAGAGGAGACUGGAAUUCCUGGUGUAGCAGUGAAAUGCGUAGAUAUCAGGAGGAACACCGAUGGCGAAGGCAGGUCUCUGGGCUGACACGUGACGUCAU